ensembl:lncRNA
UUCUUACUGAAGAUCCCUGCCUACAUGAGGUCUUCUAAAGGUAUUUCAAAAAUCAUCUGACUCAAAACAAAGGUGGGCAAAGCAUCGUAUGCCAGCUGGAGCAUUCAGAAAAUCACUUGACAGCAAGAAAAUCAUUCAUCUAUAAAAGAUGACCUCGGUGGUUUCAGCCGUCACCGAUUACCAACAGCAGUGCUGUUUCUUCCCUUCUCUGAGAAUUGAAUUUCUGUAUGACUGUUACAUUAAUUCUACUGGUACUUUACUUGCUUUAUUUAAUAACAAUGGAAACACCUAUAAAUAUUGUUUAGACAUAGCUGUCUACGGGAGAAAUUAUGGAAUUAGUUAGGAUUUCUGUGUGGCCCACAGCUUCCCCUCUAUGGAGCAGUACAUGCUUAUAACUUUCUCCAUUGGUUUGGAAGCUAUAAAACAGUGUUUCCAGAUGUAUUUCCCUGAAGGAAUUCUCCCCAUCAAUCUCUGCAUCACCUUUAUGGACACUACAUGCCAUCAAUGUGCUAGAAAGCAAUUGAGUGAGCUUUUCUCAGUUUAAUAUCAGUACUGGCAUACCCUUUUAUAGGACAAUUGCUGGUAGCUCAAGGCACCACUACCACUUGUUUCACCUUUCGCUUUCUUUUGCAGAUGGGCUAUUGAGAUCACUUCCUUAGACCAAACACUACUUUCUGGCAAAGGGUUUCCUCCAUUCCUGUUGAUAUUCUAGAUAAAAAUAAGAGUUUUCCCCAGUUUUAUGAUGCAAGAUUUAAUUCCAUGCACAGUUAGGCAGGUUUCAAUUUCCUUCCAUCUGAAUAACUCAUUGGAGGGACUGUCUAGAGUCUAAUGUUCCAUCAGCUUCUAAUAAUUCUGGUUAGUUGGGUUUUAUGGUACCAGCAAAGUAAAACAACUUCUCACAAAUCAGACAAGAAAACAAAUGCUUGUCCUGUUUACAUCUAAAGGAGCAUCUGCAGCAGACUUUAAUUCUUUCAGAGCAUGCAGUGGGAUUGACUUCAAAUGAAUUUAAAUUGCAAGCUUGGCCAACUAAAAUGCUUUUAAUUGUACAUUGGCAGCCAUUCAACCCAAUUUUUACGCUGAUUAUAGUGUAU